ensembl:lincRNA predicted gene 10605
AGUGGGUUGUCCGCCAGCAGCAGGCGCGGCUGGGGCAAGUCGCCAUCGCGCUCGAGCGCGCUCAGCUCGUCCGGGCCCAGGCCGGCCAGCGCGUUGACACGCGCAUCCAGCUGCUCCAGGCGGGGCAGGCGCAGCGCGGCGAGUGGCAGGCGGCUCAGCGCGUUGCCUACCAAGCCCAGCAGGCGAAGCUCGGCCAGGGGGGCCAGAGCGGCGUCCAGUGCAUCCAGCAUCCCGGGGCUGCCUCGAGCCAGCGCGUGAUUGAGCUGUAGUGAGCGCAGCGCAGGCAGCCCGCGAAAGGCGCGGUAGCCCAAGGCGCGUAGCGGGUUGUGGCUUAGGUCGAGUGCCGCCAGGCUGGGCAACCCGUCGAAGGCACCGUCCUCUACUACCUCGAUGUUGUUGUGUGUGAGGCGCAGCGCGGUAAGGAGCGGUAGGCGCACGCCGUCCGUCGCCCCCUCGCCCCCUCCCGCGAAGGCUGCGGCGCGCAGCACGGUCAGGUUGGCGCCCACGAUGGUGAGGUUGCGCGCGUCGGGUGGCACGUCCCGGGGCGGCUGCCGGAGCUCCGCGCCCGACGCGCAGCGCAACAUUAACCGGGGGCUGCCGAAGCAGUAACACUGGAAGGGACAGGGCGCGGCGGGCCGGCUCAGCGCCGCCGCCAAGAGCAGCAGCCCUGGCAGCGGGCUCCAGAGCCCCCGCUGUCCCGCGCGCGGGGCCAUCGCGGCCGUCCCUGCAUCCAGCCCCCGGCCCGCAGCGCUCACCAGUGAAUUGGGAGCGUUUGGAGAUGAUGGGAUGGGGGUGGCACGGGAAGGUGGCUGUGGGCUAGACCUUGACCCGGAGCAGCUGACAGUUCCGACCGGUCCGUCCUCCAGCUUGUAAAGUCCGAGGAGCCUUCACUUUGAUGGCUGGGGGCUACAGGGGUCAGGCGGGGAGCGGAGCCCCCCGCCCCCGCUGCCCUCGUCGCCCUGCGCUCCGGCCUCCGACUUCCGCGGCUGUUCCGGGCUCCGAGCCGAGUGGGCAGGGUUUGCCUCCCCCUCCCCGCCUCCUGGCCGCCUCCUCCGCCCCCAGCGGAGUCUCCGCACCUCCUCGCAAGGGAGGCGGGGUGGGAGGCUCCGGAGCAGCAGGCUUAGGGACGCUGCGCUCUCUUGCUCCCCUGCUCUCUAGUUCACGAGCUGCUGAGAAGUUUGGCUCCCCAAGCUCUGACUUGCUUCUUUCCCCACCCCCUUCGUUUAGGCAGCUUCUUUCCUCCUCCCUCCGAAGCACACGUGGGGCGGGGCCCUCAGGGCUGACCUGGCAGGUGGAUCUGUGCACCCAGAGAAGGUGGGAGAGUUUAGAGCUGUCCCUAGAAAAGGAGGCAGGGCUGAGGGGUGGGCUGACAAAGUUACUCUUCUUGUAGUCAAGGAAAGGAGCUGUGCUAAGGGAGCGAGCCUGGAAAAUCCCUAGCCUUGGAUGUCUCCUUUGCGAACCCAGUUCCCUUAGGCUGUGUCUAAAACUCUGCAGGUCCUGUGUGUUCAGUCUUUUAUCGACCCUAUUCUAUGUUCUAAAACACCCUCUGUCCCCACAUCUCCCGCGCCCUAAUUCAGGCCGCUCUGCCUCUGCCAAGACCAGUCCCAUUGGUUCCACCCUUCAGGCUGGGCCCCUCCUAGGCUCAGGGAGCGGUGGGUGGAGUGAUUCAGCUCUUUGCUUGCCCACCCCGCCCCAGCACUGAGUACUGCCAGGAUACUGUGCCCCUUCCCCUCCAAACUGCCCUACCAGUCAAUAUUGAGUGGUGUGCCGGUUGGGGAGAGGGCUCUAGGAGCAGGAAAAUCAGGAACUGAUUUUGUAGUGGAGGGUGGGGGUGUGGUAAGAUCCAGGGCUGAGGUGGGGGCUGAGCUGUUAAUAGGCUUGUUUUUUUUUUUUUUUUUUUUUUUUUUUUUUUUUUUUUCUUUCUGGGUUUUACUUAUUUACUUUUUUUUUUCCUCCAGAAUUGAGAAGCUCAAGACCUGAUUUAAAGAGACAGACUCCAGAGGAGGGAGCAUUCCUGGUCUUGGCAUGAAUUAUUCAGGUUGGAGAAGCUGACAUUUGAUCUGCAGGCCAUUCGAGUAUCUUACUUGGCAGAGCUGGGAUAGAGGCUCCCCUCCUCCCCAUAAGCAUCAGUCAGUCUCUUUCUCCUGAACUGAAGACCACUGGUUGGUUUCUUCCCUGAAGUUGCAUUUAGCAGAUAGACCAGCAAAUUGAAACCACUUUCUGAGGCAUACCCUGCAUUCCCUGGGUCCCAGGCAAAUACCAACACUAAGGACCAGGCUGGUGAUCGUGCUGGGCUCCCUCAGCUCAUAUUGACCUAGUCCUGUCUCCAUCAUAACCUCCAGAUGCUAGCAGAUGACAGUAGUAGCUUUUAGAGCUGGACAUGUCUGUAUACAUGGCCACCUGAGUUUACACACGUGUGCCCCUACACAGAAAGGCAAACUUUACACAAACAGACUUACACAUGCCCAUGUGUGGUCUAACAAAUUUAUUCUUACUUGGAUGUGCAUGCAUGUGCACGGGAGGCUUGCACACAGCAGUUCCAAACAAAUGGGUCUCACAUAGACACAUGCAGGCGCAUUCGUGCCUGUGUACAUAGCGGCUUUGAGUGUACCUGGUAUGUGUCCAUAGAGUCAGAAGCAUACCAAAGUGCUUGAGUGUUCACUCACUGGGCCAACACAGGUUCAACUGCAGCCUUAGAGGGGCUGCUUGCAGACUCUUGUGAAAGUGAAUGCGUACAGACGGGGCCCUCUCCUGCUCUGGACUAUGUCCUUGGCCUUUGGAGGUCACAGGUACCUUUUCUCAUACAGCACAAAUCAUGAGUGACCAGAACAGCCUGCUUCCCCCACUUAACUGCAUGGAGACCUGCCUCCAGUCCCUACGGAAGUGUAGACCACUGCCAAGGCCAAAACUCCCUCUCGGGUUUUCAUGGUGGCUGCCUUCUCAUUGCUGCUGACUGCCUUCUCCAAGGGAGAGGGGUUACAUGGUUGCAGGCAGCUUUCAUUGACUGGUGUUAAACACCUCAGCUGGGGAAGAGAAGCUUAAGAAGAACGGACGAUCAUUAGGCAAGGGGAGCCGUGUUCUCUGUGUUGUAUGAAUGAGGGAAUUGUUGUGUUCUCUGGAAGAAGGGCUCUCUCCCUUCGGGAGUUGCCAGUGUAUUAUGUCCAGUAGGUAUUUCAAUAAAUAUCUGUCUGUUUGAUGCU